rnacentral:rRNA from 1 species
UUUGAUUGUAAAAUUUUAAAACUAAAGUAGUAAUAGUUAAUGAUCUUGAAACUUAAAGAAUUUGGCGGUAUUUUAGUCUAUUUAGAGGAACCUGUUUCGUGAUCGAUAGUCCACGUUGAACCUUACUUAAURAUUUUGUAUGUAUACCGCCGUAUAUUGAAUAUUUUAUUAGGAUGAUUUUCUUGAUAUUUAGUUUAUAAAAUUUCAGGUCAAGGUGCAGUUGAUAAUUAAGUGAAAAUGGGUUACAAUAUUUAAAGAUARUACGRAUUAUUGGUUGAAAAGAUUAAGGAUGAAGGUGAAUUUAAUAGUAAUUUCUUGUAGAUUGUAGRAUUGAUUUUAGCUCYARAAUGUGU